rnacentral:rRNA from 1 species
GAUCAUGGCUCAGGAUGAACGCUAUCUACAGGCUUAACACAUGCAAGUCGAGGGGAAACGACAUCGAGAGCUUGCUUUUGAUGGGCGUCGACCGGCGCACGGGUAAGUAACGCGUAUCCAACCUGCCUACCACUUGGGGAUAACCUUGCGAAAGUAAGACUAAUACCCAAUGACAUCCCACGAAGACAUCUGAAUGGGAUUAAAGAUUUAUCGGUGAUGGAUGGGGAUGCGUCUGAUUAG